rnacentral:misc_RNA from 1 species
GAACCGAUCCGGGAAAAACACACUAACCAAACUUCUUCAUCGGGGUUUCACAUCGUGGUUUCUUUUCUUUUUUUUUUAAGGAUAUACCUGAUCCGUUACGUGGUUUAAGUGUGCGCAUUAAAAGGGGAUCCGAGUUUAUUAUUAGAUCCCUUAUUAAGGAAGUAUCUUAUGACACAAAACGUUCGUUUUUUAAUCGCAAUCCAAAUGUCUCGACGGUUUCAAUUAAUAUUUCCGAAGCGAAAACCCAUCGAGUAAAGAAAACAAACCCGGUUGAAGCUCAUGAAAAAUACACAAAUUACGCGGAUUGCAUAAACAACUUUAAAAUAACUAAAAGGCAUCUUUAAGUUAAAUGCUAUUUAUUCGAGUUGAGAGUGGUGUACCGUAUGUUCCUGAAAAAACCAAGAAUAGAUGGACAGGAACGGUGAAAAGUGACGAAUCUUUAUUUAGGAAAUGGUUUUUUGGAUUAUAGUGGGUUAUUUGUUAGUGCAAGUGUCUAAUAUUCAUUCUGGAUACAUAGAAAAAGUAGAAGUCUCAGCUUGUGAAUCCUGUCAAUUAACCCUAACCUGCCGUCAACUGGACUCGAUUAUCGCCAUAUUGGAUGUGAACUUCGAGCGGGAAAAUUCGGUCGAAAACCCUUUCGCGCCCUUUCCACUCGACUAUCCCCGGGAUGCGGUGAAUAAGCGGUGUUCGGGCCUAAGCUACUGCACUUUCAUUUUGACAAAUGACAGCUUCGGGGGUGACACCUGGGGCGAGGGAAAUCUCACUAUUCAAUACGCUUGUGCCACAAAAGACCGAGUAUAUCCUUACUGCAACUCCGAAAUCCAUAUAAACGAUAAUCGUACAUCCGGUUUCAUACGGAAUCCGGGUUAUCCGAGAUUUUAUGCGGGUCAACGAAGGUGUCGCUGGCGAAUCACGGCUCCCCCUUUCAGCAGAAUCUUACUAAGACUGUUAGAUGUAGCUUUAUUUGAUACAAGAGUUUACAACCAAGAAGACUGCAAGGACACUUUAGAAAUCAAAGACACCGAACAAGUGAUAUAUUCAACUUGCACCCAGGAACAUCCGCCUUCCGAAGUUACCUCAAUAUCCGAAUCGUUAGAGAUACUCUUGACAUCCCGGAAGCAAGUUAACCCCACCAGAGGGAUUCUCGCUCACUUCAGUGUCUUAGGGUGUGCUCCACCCCUGCCUCCCAGCACCGCUUACCUUUUAUACGAAAACGGUUCCGUUGCCGUUUACUCCUGCUGGAAUGACCUGGUGUUCCCUGAUACCCAAACGAAAAAUCGGACGAUCCAGUGUGUGGAUGGGAGCUGGAACGUUUCGUUACCGCUGCUCGAUUGUGACGAGCCGGAACUAUCGAACUUGAUCGAUUUGCAUACUCAAGGUGGAUUAAGCAAGUCUCGCAAGAUGGCAUCUGAACUGGUCGCUCCCAUCGUGAUGAUCCUGAUCCUCUUUGCCCUGAACGCAGUAGUGAUUUUCUACAUCCACAAGGCCAAGAAGAAUUUCCGAAAACUAGACAUGAAUGGAAGCAGAUUGGACAACGAUUCGACUCCCGUUGGAAGUUUCCUAAUUGCGGUGGUUCAAUCGAUGGAAAGCAUAUUAGAAUAACAUGUCCAUCAAAAUUUGGCGCUUUUUACUAUAACUACAAAAAAUUUUAUAGCAUAGUUUUGAUGGCUUUGGUAAACGCUGACUAUGAAUUUAUCUAUGUAGAUAUAGGUAAAAAUGGGAGAAACUCUGACGGCGGCAUUUUGGAAUACACCAAUUCACCAAUUUCUACGACAAAUUAAUGAAGGAUCAACUAAAUUUGCCAGGUAAAGACGAAAAUACAAAAAAACUGAAUUUUGUAUUUUUGGGAAAUGAAGCAUUUGCUCUGCACGAACACGUCCUGAAACCAUUCAGUCAAUUCGAACUUACAAAGGAAAAAAGGAUUUUUAAUUAUCGGUUGGCAAGGGCUAGGAAUGUAAUUGAAAACGUUUUCGGAAUUAUUACCUCCAGAUUUAGGUCGCUACAUACUGCUAUUUCAUUACAACCAGAAAAAGCUAAGUAUGUCAUAAUGCCGAUAUGCGUCUUACAUAAUUUAUUACGUCGUAGAAGUAAGUCGUACUUCAAUUCGACUAUUGUAGAUACAGUAAAUAGAAUUACUCAUGCUAUCAGGCAAGACGGUGAAUGGCGUAAGCAUAACGUGGAUUUGCAUGGAUUGCAGAAAACGCGAAGUAGGAAAGAUUUGCUGAAUGGGAAAAAAUGCCGGGAAGAAUAUCUUCAAUUCUUUGAUGGAUAUGGGAGCGUCUCAUGGCAAGAACAAAUGCAUCAGAAGGGUAGAGCUUGAAUUCUUUUAAAAUGGAGUACUUAUUUUUAAUAAUAUAUAUCAUAUUUACCUCAUUUGUUUCUUCUAAUCCUUCAUUAUCUUCUAUUCCCCCAGUAUCUUCAUUUACUUUUUGAUUAGCUUCCUGACUUUCAUCAACUUCAGUCAGAUUUGGAGUUACGGACGUAAUAUUAUCGAUACUCUCUGCUGGUCAUUCUUGGUCUAUUAGGAACAUCAUUAAGUUAAAGUACCACAAAUGUGAUUUGUAGAUUUCCUCAGUUCCUUUGCCGGAUCGCUCCGACUUUUCAACCUUAAAAUGACAUUAAUAUCAAUUUCUUUAAUAAUUAAGUGCAUACUUGGCCAAAAAUGGCACAUUUUGAAUUUAAUAAAUAAAUCAAUAAAUAAAUUUUUCGACCAAUUUAACCGACCUCGCAGCUCUAACCGUUGCGGAAAUAGCAAUAGUGGUAUCAAUUAAAAAGGACAUCCUGUACAUAUUGACGUACCACUUUGGAGUUAUUAUUAGUGAAUAACAAGUUUAUUAGGAUCUUACCUUAAAAUCACCCAGAAUAUCUACUUAAUAGUUUUUAUUACAAAACGAGGCAAAAUAAAGUCGAAUAGGUACUUACCUUUUUUAGUUCCUUUCGGAAAGAUCCUCUUAGUGACUGAUUUUUUUAUUUUACGGUCUUUUGGUCGGCUUCGGUAUCAAACUUCUUCCAAAUUUUAAGUAACUCGGCGUAAGCAUGAUUCUUUAAAUUCCUGUUGUUGUAAAUUUCUUUAUUUUUGAUUUGCCACAACUGGGGUAGUUCACGGUAUUUUUCAAUAAAUUCCUUCAAAAUACUCUUGAGGGUAUUUCGGAUGUCGUAUUUUUCGCAACUUUCAUCGACUAUGGAGCUUUGUGUAUUAUCGUCCUCCAUAGUAGUAGUUAUAUACGAGUAGGUACGUACAAAUAAAUAUGUGAUAAACCAAUUCAAAAUGAAAAUAAUACUUGAGGUGACACGCCAAGAUACAACAAAAGUACCUAAAAUAAACCCGUCAAGACAAGUAUUAACACACUAACUAAAACGCCAGUCAUCACUUCAAGACGGCGGGAUUUGCCGACAGGAAAAUUUUGAGCGUCGGCCCGUCAUCUCAAACCUCACUAACCGGCAUUCAUUCCUUCGCGAUUAGUCUUUCCUUGCGGAAUGAAUGUUGGUGCAUGGGUGGCUAUUAAUAGAUUUACGGUACUGUGUAUGAGCCUCAGUUGCCCAGUGUGGAUUUGACACUGACCAGUACCGACAGUUUUGCCGAUUUACGACACCGUUUAAACAAAAAGUUGCUUCAUCCGAAAACAAAACUCCUAACACAAACGGACGGCUAUUAUUGCAAAUGUUCAUCAUUUACUCGCAAAAUUGGUUUCUUCGAUCAGGAUCGUCCUCAUUUAAUUCGUGUAUUAAUCUAAUUUUAUAAGGGUGGUAAUCAUUUGCUUUUAAGAUGCGUCUUACUGACGUUCCGGCUAUAUUAUUAUCAACUGAAAUUUGUGAAGUUGCAUUGCUUCGAUUUUCUUCGACGGAGAGCAGAACGUUUUGUUUCUUCAGAAAUUUUUGGACGACUUGAUCUUGGCAAAUCCCUAACAUGACCUGAAGUUAUGAAUUUGUGCUUAAUUCUACUAACUGUUGUUGGUUUGCAUAUUACGCAUUAAACAGUUCACUUACUUCAUCAAAAUUUCAAUUCGUUGGGUUUCCGUUAAAUUAGCCAUCAUUUAUUCUGAUAAAAACUAUUAAUUUUGGAACUAACAGUGACAUUCGAAAAUGGAGAGUCUUUACAAGUCCAACCAUGGAAAUAGAAACAAUUGGCAGUGUUUAUAACAUUAUUUUUAUCCUCGAUUUUACCAUAAUUUGUAAAUAGACGUAUACUUAUUUGUUUUCUUAUUUAAAUGUAAAUAUUUUUGAAACAUUUGAGUUUUGAGAUAAGGUGUGUUAUACGAAACUUGUUUGGAAUUUCGCCUAUAUUUCAUAAAUGCAAUAAAAAAUAUAGCAUUCCAUUUAAAAAAAUGACCGAUGACGUCAUAUCUUUUUUUGUUCGACCCUAUAUACAAAAAUUUAUGUGAACUUAAAUAAACGCAACUUAAUAUAAAAAUCGACGGAUCCAAGCGUUUUCUAAAAAAAAACCAUGUCUCUAAUUUUUAUCGAAUUGAUGCGGAACUUUAGGCGGUCACUGUAUAUCACAUGUCAUAGUUUGUUCUGAGGGUUAUAUUAGAUUUAAGGCCCCCCUAGACGCUCAAUUAAUUAUAUGGCACAAUAUUAUAUUAGGCAAUAUUGUAUUGAUCAAUAUGUUUUAACCUAGACUAUGCAAUAUUUAUGUGCAAUGUCCACAUCUGGUUAGUUAGUAUACAAUCAGAAAGCACGAAGAGCAAUUGAAUUAUGUCUAAAAAACGGAAAGCCUGUUUGGCAAUAGUUUAAUAUUGUUCUUCUAAGAACCAAAACGGCUGCGUUGGUCUAAAGAUUGGUAUCUUAAACGAAGUGAAUUUACAAGCGAGAAUUUACUGUGCGUUUUAAAGCUGAGUGAACCGAAUGAUUGCCAAAAUUAUUUACGUAUGAAUAACGACUCAUUCAAUGAGUUUGUUGGAAAUUACCACUAAUUUUAAGACAAAAUACGGUGAAGCCAUGAAGAGGAAUGCUGUCUCACCUACAGAACAACAACUGGUUAACAACAACACUGCAAUUUUUAGCAACAGGACGAAGUUUCGAAGACUUAAAAUUUAGCUCUGCGAUAGCACCACAAACUAUCAGUGGAAUUAUUUUGGAAACAUGGUGAAGCUAUAAUAGCAACAUUGCAAAAAUACAUUCAGAUUCCGAAAAAUUCUGAAGAAUGGGUUACAGUUGCCAAAUGAUUUGAAAAUAGACGGAAUAAGAAUAGGCCAUAGACGGCAAGCAUAUUGCCAUACAAAAGCCAAAAGGAUCUGGGUCUGAAUACUACAACUAUAAACAAUUUUUUAGUAUUGUAUUAAUGGGCAUCGUAGAUUCAAAUUAUGAAUUUAUUAUGGUCGAUAUGGGAGCUAAUGGACGCAUGUCAGAUGGAGCCGUGCUGGAAAAUGAAGAAUUAAAUCUCCCUCCUCCAAUAAUAUUACCCAACAGUAAUUAUCAAUUGUCAUUUGUUUUUAUGGGGGAUGAGGCAUUUACACUGAAAGUAAUAAUUUUAUGAAACUUUUUCCACAAAGAAAUUUAACACUAGAAGAAAGAGUGCCCGACGAAUUGUGGAAAAUACAUUUGGUAUAUUAGUGUCGCGUUUUAUCACCUGAAAAAGAACAAAGAAUAGUUUUAGCUUGCUGAUGCUACGUAUCUUUACAACUUUUUAAGACGCAAAAUGAAAUGCCAGUAUACGGAUAUGUCAAAAGCAAUAAUUCCGACAACAGUACAAAUAUUAAUAUGGAACAAACCCAGUUACAUUCCCUACAGCCCUUACGAGGACGAAACGCAUCAAUUUCUGCAAAAAAUGUGAGACAAAAGUUCUGUGAUUACUUCAAUAACGAAGGGAAAGUCUCUUGGCAGGACAAUGUUGUUUAAAAUUGAUAUGUAAUAUGUAAUAACUAAAUAAAUAAAUAAAUAAAUAGGA